rnacentral:tRNA from 1 species
GGAUGCCGGAGGUUAAAAUCCUCCCUAACGC